UGGGUUUGUCCCAAAUACAAGACGCCAGUUCAUGGCAGUGACAUGUGCUCCGGCCUCUCAUUCAGCGUGCUGGCCUGCAGGUGAAUGCAGAGAACAGCACAGCCCAGGAGCGGUGACAUUUCAGAGAUUUAUUAAUUUGAAAAUGAAGCCCGCCUGUCGAGAGGGGGACAGUUCUUCUCAAUCUGUCAUCGUUGAACCACACGCUCCUGACACGGGGACUCAUUUGUCUCGUCGGCUCUGACAGUUGGAUUCUCCCCGAGCUCUUCCCAGUGGAUCGCCCUGGGAUUUUAAACCGGAUGAAACACAUUCCGACAAGGAACAGCCUCUUUAUUAAUGCAAAUUACAUGAGGAGGAGAGGAGCGGCGCGGGGAGAGAGACGCCCGCGCGCUCGGCGCUCCGGUUCCUGUGGCAGUCAUUUGUUAUUUACACUUAUACACAUUUUUCAGUUUUAAUAAAAGGAGACCCGGA